AUGCUAGUUUUAGAACCGACAUUUUCAUUUGCAGAACGCACACUGUUCCUAUCUCUAUGGUCAAUACCUCGUCCAACCCCUUUCUCUCCAGGCGUCGCGCGCAGACGGCAAACCGGGCGCCGCCCAUCUUUGUUAUGGGGAAAAUGUUUCCACCGCCAAGUCUAUCGAAGGGAGGGAGGGGAAAGAGAACGUCUGCCCCGCCAUCUUUGUCAUGGGCAACGCAAGGCUAGGUCCUGCGUGAGCGCACGCCCAAGUUGUGGCCCGGCAAAGAGGAGGAGGAGGAGGGAAGAAAGCCGCCGAAGGAAGUGGGAGGUGUCUCCUCUUCCUUGUCCUCCAUCUCUCGAUGCCUUCAGCUGCGCCGUAGCUUUUCGCGGAUUUGCCUUAGGAGACAGCAGGGACUGAAAGAGAGAAAUAAGGUGGGUUUAUCUUCUUUUUAGCUCUGGCUACUGGCAUGUUGCUACCUAGCAUGUUGUCUAUAACAGAUUCUUGUGAGGGAAUGUGGUCCUCGAUAAAGCGAAGGCUGUGUCUGCCCCUGAUGUAAAAUACAUAGUUGAGGGAUGUAAGUUACCUGCAAGAAUAUGUUGGUAAUCGCUUAACUUUUUCCUGUCUUAAAUGCCCUGUUGCAAAGGUAUAUCAGGCAAAUAAACUUGCAAAAGGUGUGUAUUGGGAUGAAAGG
rnacentral:lncRNA from 1 species